rnacentral:rRNA from 1 species
UACGUAGGGUGCAAGCGUUAAUCGGAAUUACUGGGCGUAAAGCGUGCGCAGGCGGUUGUGCAAGACAGAUGUGAAAUCCCCGGGCUUAACCUGGGAAUUGCAUUUGUGACUGCACGGCUAGAGUGUGUCAGAGGGGGGUAGAAUUCCACGUGUAGCAGUGAAAUGCGUAGAGAUGUGGAGGAAUACCGAUGGCGAAGGCAGCCCCCUGGGAUAACACUGACGCUCAUGGCACGAAAGCGUGGGGAGCAAACAGG